UACGUAGGGUGCGAGCGUUGUCCGGAAUUAUUGGGCGUAAAGAGCUUGUAGGCGGUUUGUCGCGUCUGCCGUGAAAUUUCGGGGCUCAACCCCGAACUUGCGGUGGGUACGGGCAGACUAGAGUGUGGUAGGGGAGACUGGAAUUCCUGGUGUAGCGGUGGAAUGCGCAGAUAUCAGGAGGAACACCGGUGGCGAAGGCGGGUCUCUGGGCAGUAACUGACGCUGAGGAGCGAAAGCGUGGGGAGCGAACAGG
rnacentral:rRNA from 1 species